AACGAACGCUGGCGGCAUGCCUAACACAUGCAAGUCGAACGAGACCUUCGGGUCUAGUGGCGCACGGGUGCGUAACGCGUGGGAAUCUGCCCUUGGGUGCGGAAUAACUUCCCGAAAGGGAUGCUAAUACCGCAUAAUGUCGCAAGACCAAAGAUUUAUCGCCCAAGGAUGAGCCCGCGUAGGAUUAGCUAGUUGGUGGGGUAAAGGCCUACCAAGGCGACGAUCCUUAGCUGGUCUGAGAGGAUGAUCAGCCACACUGGGACUGAGACACGGCCCAGACUCCUACGGGAGGCAGCAGUGGGGAAUAUUGGACAAUGGGCGAAAGCCUGAUCCAGCAAUGCCGCGUGAGUGAUGAAGGCCUUAGGGUUGUAAAGCUCUUUUACCCGGGAUGAUAAUGACAGUACCGGGAGAAUAAGCUCCGGCUAACUCCGU
rnacentral:rRNA from 1 species